rnacentral:rRNA from 1 species
UACGUAGGGCGCAAGCGUUGUCCGGAAUUCUUGGGCGUAAAGAGCUCGUAGGCGGUUUGUCGCGUCUGCUGUGAAAACCUAAGGCUCAACCUUGGGCUUGCAGUGGGUACGGGCAGACUAGAGUGCGGUAGGGGUGACUGGAAUUCCUGGUGCAGCGGUGGAAUGCGCAGAUAUCAGGAGGAACACCGAUGGCGAAGGCAGGUCACUGGGCCGCAACUGACGCUGAGGAGCGAAAGCAUGGGGAGCGAACAGG